rnacentral:rRNA from 1 species
GCAUAUCAAUAAGCGGAGGAAAAGAAACUAACUAGGAUUCCCUUAGUAACGGCGAGUGAACCGGGAUGAGCUCAAAUUUGAAAUCUGGCGUCUUUCAGGCGUCCGAGUUGUAAUCUAUAGAGGCGUUUUCCGCGCCGGACCGCGUCCAAGUCUCUUGGAAUAGAGUAUCAAAGAGGGUGACAAUCCCGUACUUGACGCGACAACCGGUGCUCUGUGAUACGUUCUCAAUGAGUCGAGUUGUUUGGGAAUGCAGCUCUAAAUGGGUGGUAAAUUCCAUCUAAGGCUAAAUAUUGGCGAGAGACCGAUAGCGAACAAGUACCGUGAGGGAAAGAUGAAAAGCACUUUGGAAAGAGAGUUAAACAGCACGUGAAAUUGUUAAAAGGGAAACGAUUGAAGUCAGUCGUGUGGGAAGUAUUCAGCCGUCUCUGGCGGUGUAUUUGCUUCUCACGGGUCAACAUCAGUUUGAUCCGGUAGAAAAAGGCGGGAAGAAGGUGGCACCCUCGGGUGUGUUAUAGCUUCCUGUCAUAUGUGCCGGACCAGACUGAGGAACGCAGCUUGCAGCAAUGCCGGGGUUCGCCCACGUACAAGCUAGGAUGUGACA